rnacentral:miRNA from 1 species
CAAACGGUGCCCUUUUGAAGA